ensembl:lncRNA novel transcript
GGGUCUUCCAGGAUCGCGCAUUAGCGGACGCUGGCUACGGGUGGCCGGGCGGGAUGUAACCGGCUGCUGAGCUGGCAGUUCUGUGUCCCCAGGCUUCGGCCCGGCCGCCGCCGCACAUAAACUGCGAGGAGGAGCUUUACGACUUCUCGGUCUUCGGGGCCGGGCGCAGCAAGGGCCAGACUCUGCGCUAGCAGGCGCUGCGCGCCAACCGGCCGGCCCCUGUCGCAGAAGGUGCAACCGAUCGCACUGUCGCGCAGAAGCUCCUCAAUGGCCAGCGCCAGCUGCAGCCCCGGCUGCCCACUCGCCUCACCUGAGCCUGGGUGGAACAAUCCAAAGUUUUAAUCAAAGAAGGUGGUAUUCAGUUGCUGCUUACAAUAGUUGAUACCCCAGGAUUUGGAGAUGCAGUGGAUAAUAGUAAUUGCUGGCAGCCUGUUAUCAAUUACAUUGAUAGUAAAUUUGAGGACUACCUAAAUGCAGAAUCGCAAGUGAACAGAUGUCAGAUGCCUGGUAACAGGGUGCACUGUUGUUUAUACUUCAUUGCUCCUUCAGGACAUGGACCGUUACAUAACUGAAGACUCCCACCUUCAGGCAGGAUUGGGUAGUACAUGUUUGUAACUACCUGGCAUUGCCUUUUGUUGAGACUUAAACCAUUGGAUAUUGAGUUUACAAAGCAUUUGCAUGAAAAAGUGAAUAUCAUCCCACUUAUUGCCAAAGCAGACACACUCAUGCCAGAGGAAUGCCAACAGUUUAAAAAACAGAUAAAGAAAUCCAAGAACAUAAAGUUAAAAUAUAUGAAUUUCCAGAAACAGAUGAUGAAGAAGAAAAAAAACUUGUUAAAAAGAUAAAGGACCAUUUACCUCUUGCUGUGGUGGGUAGUAAUACUAUCAUUGAAGUUAAUGGCAAAAGGGUCAUAGGAAGGCAGUAUCCUUGGAGUGUUGCUGAAGUUGAAAAUGGUGAACAUUGUGAUUUUACAGUUUUAAGAAAUAUGUUGAUAAGAACACACGCAGGACUUGAAAGAUGUUACUAAUAAUGUCCACUACGAGAACUAUGGAAUCAGAAAACUGGCAGCUGUGACUUAUCAUGGAGUUGAUAACAAGAAGAAUAAAGGGCAGCUCACUAAGAGCCCUCUGGCACAAAUGGAAGAAGAAAGAAGGGAGCAAGUAGCUAAAAUUAAGAAGAUGGAGAUGGAGAUGGAGCAGGUGUUUGAGAUGAAGGUCAAAGAAAAAGUUCAAAAACUGAAGGACUCUGAAGCUGAGGUACAGCGGACCUUCCUGGCAUCAGAAAAAGGCCUCCAGAAAAAGAGACACAGACUGCCUUUGAAAAACCUCUAACCUGUGAGCACGAGAUGAUUCCAGAACAAACUCUGUCUCCCAUGUGGCAUGACCAGCCUUGGGUCUCUUAAACUUUUUCUCCACUAUAAUGCCAUGGUCUUUAUGCAGCAGGCAGGAAGAAUUCAGGAACUGAUUUCAUCUGAAAUUGAAGAGACAAUCAGAGAAAAACUAUAGACCACUCAUGAUGGUUGUUAUAUGUGCUUGGCUGGGCCAUGGGUCCCAGUGUUUGGUGAAACACAGCAGCAGAUGUCCCUCACACACAUGCCCUCUUGGUUCUGUUUCUUUGAAGAACCCCAGGAAAACACACAAAGGAAAAACAACUCGAUAGACAGAAGAUUCUUCAAUGACAACAAUGGAAGCCAUCUUCACCAUUCAACUAAACUUGAAUGGGAUAUUAUCAAACUUAAAAAAAAAUUAUCAACUGAUCGUGUAAUCAGUUUCAUCUUUUAAGACAGGAAAUGAAAUAAAGUAUUUACAGAUGAAUGUAAAA